AAUUCACUCUCUUAAGACAGACAGAGAGAGAGAGAGGUGCUCACCGCCGCCGUGGUUCCAUCUUCGAAGGGAGCGAUCUCAUUUCUCAUCGCCGUCGUCGUUUGGGCUUCGCAGUUUAGAUAGAAUGCGACAGGCGCAACAAUUCUGGUUCCGAUUCUAUUCGAUUAAACUGGGGAGGCGAUCGGAGAUGAUGCUUGGCGCGUCUAGGGAAUUUUUUUGUCUAUCUAGGGUUUGAGUAUCGAUCGAUGAGCAAUUCGCUGUUAUCAUCUCAGCAAUGGAGUAGCCGUGACUUAUCGACAAACUUUUGUGAUGCAAAGAUGAUGGUUUGUGAGGGUGUUCUGGUAUAGUUAAUAUCAGUUUUCUGGCGAUGGAUGGAAGGACAUCGAACGACGCAGUUUCUUCAUCUCUAUGUUCUGUUUUAAGCGUGACAGGAUUUUUUUAUCACGAGAAGCUGGUGUUUUCUUGCCGUCUGUCUAGGGUUUGAGUAUCGAUCGAUAAGACAAUUCGCUGGUAUCGUCUCAGCAAUGGCGUAGCCGAUUAACUUACGACAAACUUUUGUGAUGCAAAGAUGUAAAUCCUUAUCGUAUAUCUCCUUCACUCCUUUUCUUUCUUUUGUAAUGUCAACUAUGAAUUCUAAUACCAUAUUUUUUUUAAUGAGGAUGGUUGUGAGCGUGUUCUGGUAUAGUUAAUAUCAGUUUUCUGGCAAUGGAUGGAAGGAUAUCGAACAACGCAGUUUCUUCAUCUGUAUGUUCUGUUUUAAGCGAGACAGGAUUUUUUUAUCACGAGAAGCUGGUGUUUUCUUGCCUGUCCUGCUCAUAAUUUCCGUCUUUGAGCGACUAUUUUGGAAGAACUUGAUUAGGGUUUAUAUUGGAGGCUAAGCGAUGCUAUGUAAAGCUACCCAUGUACGAUAAAAAAUGUCAAGCUUUUACAUAAUUGGACAGUCUUCACUUUAGACACUUUUGUAAAAUAUUUUAAACAUUGCAACUUUUUUUACUUUGAAACAAGAAAUAACUUGGGAUUCUCCUCAAUCUUUGCAGGUGGAUUGUGAUAGGAAUUCUAAUUUCUAUGCUUUAUGUCCGGGUUUCAUAUAUUUAAUGUCUCCAUUGAUCUCGUUUAUUCAAAAUGUAUGCUUGUGCUAAUUAUGCAAAAUAUUUAAAUAAAAAUAUUGCAAAUCCUAGGCAGCAUGCAGGUUUUGCUUAAUUCAUUUCCCACACAUGAAUUUGAAUUUAGUUUUAGUGCAUAACAUGGUGUCUGCUCUCAUUCUUAUUAUUAAGAUGUUGCUUAUGAUUCCACUGGAGAAGUCAGAAGGUGUCACAGAUGCAGCAAACUCAGAAUAUACUCUUUCCAUUUUCCAUUUGGAUUUUUUAUGCUCCUAAUGUUUUGGGGCAUCCCGACAAUUAUAUACUUGCUAAUCCGAUGUCCACCCUGGCGCCAUUCCCAGAACUAGCAUUGAUUGAACCAUUGGAGUUGUAGAAUUCCUUUCAACUUCAUGUAAAGAUCAUAACCAACUCUCAGGUGGACUUGAAGUAUUGUUCUCAUUAUCUUCUGCUUCUUCAGUUGGAUGGAGGGCCAGUUGAGGCUGCCAUAGGAUGUGACCAUCUCCUGAAUAGGAGCACUUCGAGGUUGAUUAUCUGUCCAUUUCCCGAAACUAUUUACAAUUGCUUUCGACGUGAAUUUUUCACCCCUUAUGGACAACGUCGAGGCCAAACAUAUGAAACUUUUGAGGACACUGUCAAAUAUAGCCAGUUGUAUACUUGCCAGUGAGGUAGAGCUGUACUAAAAGUACUGAUUGAUAGAGUUCGAGACAAUGCUUCUACUAUACAAUUAGCUUUAUGGUCCAGUUUCCACAUAUUUAAUAUGUCACCAUUGACCUCCUUAGUCCUUUAUGCAAAAUCUUAGGAUUCCACUAAAGAAAUAUGAGGGCGCAACAGAUGCAACCAACCCAGAGGGGAGAUGGUGUCGUCUUCUUGUGCAGUCAGUCGAUAAACAAGAUUUUGGCACAUAAAACUCUUUUGAUUUUGGGACAUGGGAAGUGGACAUAAUAUUCCAAUGCAUCGAGGUAAAUUUGUUACAAAAGUUAUUAUUUUUUGUUUUUUAUCUUUCUCUUUUAUGUUUUUAUGCUUGCAUAAAAGAAGUUGAUUCGUUU